rnacentral:rRNA from 1 species
GACGAACGCUGGCGGCGUGCUUAACACAUGCAAGUCGAACGGUGAAGCUCCAGCUUGCUGGAGUGGAUCAGUGGCGAACGGGUGAGUAACACGUGAGCAACCUGCCCCUGACUCUGGAAUAAGCGCUGGAAACGGCGUCUAAUACUGGAUACGAGAAGUGUCCGCAUGUGCACUUUCUGGAAAGGUUUUCGUUUGGGGAUGGGCUCGCGGCCUAUCAGCUUGUUGGUGAGGUAAUGGCUGCCCAAGGGAACGACGGGUAGCCGGCCUGAGAGGGCGACCGGCCACACUGGGACUGAGACACGGCCCAGACUCCUACGGGAGGCAGCAGUGGGGAAUAUUGCACAAUGGGCGAAAGCCUGAUGCAGCGACGCCGCGUGAGGGAUGACGGCCUUCGGGUUGUAAACCUCUUUCAGCAGGGAAGAAGCGAAAGUGACGGUACCUGCAGAAGAAGCACCGGCUAACUACGUG